AUUGAACGCUGGCGGCAUGCUUUACACAUGCAAGUCGAACGGCAGCGCGGGCUUCGGCCUGGCGGCGAGUUGCGAACGGGUGAGUAAUGCAUCGGAACGUGCCCAGUAGUGGGGGAUAGCCCGGCGAAAGCCGGAUUAAUACCGCAUACGACCUGAGGGUGAAAGCGGGGGACCGAAAGGCCUCGCGCUAUUGGAGCGGCCGAUGUCGUAUUAGCUAGUUGGUGGGGUAAAGGCUUACCAAGGCAACGAUCCGUAGCUGGUCUGAGAGGACGACCAGCCACACUGGAACUGAGACACGGCCCAGACUCCUACGGGAGGCAGCAGUGGGGAAUUUUGGACAAUGGGGGCAACCCUGAUCCAGCCAUGCCGCGUGAGGGAAGAAGGCCUUCGGGUUGUAAACCGCUUUUGUUCGGGAAGAAAUCCUCUGGGCUAAUACCCCGGGGGGAUGACGGUACCGGAAGAAUAAGCACCGGCUAACUACGUG
rnacentral:rRNA from 1 species